rnacentral:ncRNA from 14 species
UAAAUAUGGUUUGCAUACCUUCAUAUAUCCUCGAUAAUAUGGUUCGAAAGUCUCUACCGGGUCACCGUAAAUGAUCUGACUAUGAAGGCAGUAUUCAUUUUG